CCUACGGGUGGCAGCAGUGAGGAAUCUUCCGCAAUGGGCGAAAGCCUGACGGAGCGACGCCGCGUGUGGGAUGAAGUCCUUCGGGAUGUAAACCACUGUCGAGAGGGAAGAGAACGGACGGUACCUCUCAAGAAAGCCCCGGCUAACUACGUGCCAGCAGCCGCGGUAAUACGUAGGGGGCAAGCGUUACCCGGAUUCACUGGGCGUAAAGCGCGUGUAGGCGGCUGAUCAAGCGUGAUGUGAAAUCUCCGGGCUCAACCCGGAAACUGCAUUGCGAACUGGUCUGGCUAGAGUGCAGGAGAGGGCAGCAGAAUUCCUGGUGUAGCGGUGAAAUGCGUAGAUAUCAGGAGGAAUACCAGUGGCGAAGGCGGCUGCCUGGCCUGUAACUGACGCUGAGACGCGAAAGCGUGGGGAGCGAACCGGAUUAGAUACCCCAGUAGUC
rnacentral:rRNA from 1 species